rnacentral:rRNA from 1 species
UACGAAGGGUGCAAGCGUUACUCGGAAUUACUGGGCGUAAAGCGUGCGUAGGUGGUGAGUUAAGUCUGUCGUGAAAGCCCCGGGCUCAACCUGGGAAUGGCGAUGGAUACUGGACAGCUAGAGUGUGUCAGAGGAUGGUGGAAUUCCCGGUGUAGCGGUGAAAUGCGUAGAGAUCGGGAGGAACAUCAGUGGCGAAGGCGGCCAUCUGGGACAACACUGACGCUGAAGCACGAAAGCGUGGGUAGCAAAAGGG